UACAGAGGGUGCGAGCGUUGUCCGGAAUCACUGGGCGUAAAGGGCGCGUAGGUGGCCUGGUAAGUAGGGGGUGAAAUCUCGUGGCUCAACUGCGAGGCUGCCUCCUAAACUGUCAGGCUCGAGCAGAGUAGAGGCAGGUGGAAUUCCCGGUGUAGCGGUGGAAUGCGUAGAGAUCGGGAAGAACAUCGGUGGCGAAGGCGGCCUGCUGGGCUCUUGCUGACACUGAUGCGCGACAGCGUGGGGAGCAAACAGG
rnacentral:rRNA from 1 species